CAAUCCCACCCGGAUUCGAACUCUUCCAGCUGGGUGAUGAGAACUCAUCCGUCGUCAUCCACCGGAGAUCCCAGACCCAGCACCAUGUGCUGGGAAGGGGAGCCCAGAGGAGGCCUGGGCGAGCAGCAAAGCUUCCCUGAAGUCACGUCUGAGCUGAGAGCUGAGCAGCAGCCUGACCUGACCAUGCAAGGAGUGGAUGGCAGUUCCGAGUCGAUGGAGCAGUG
rnacentral:lncRNA from 1 species